CAAUAGCAUCAAAAACAAUAAAAUACUUAAGAAUAAAUUUAACCGAGGAAGCGAAAAAUUGAUGCAAUGAAAACUACAAGACUUUUAUGAAAGAAAUUGAAGACGACACAAACAAAUGGACAUAUAACCCCUGUUCAUGGAUCAGAAGAAAUAAUAUUGUCCAUAUUACCCAAAGACAUCUAAAGAUUCACUGUAAUCUCUACCAAAACUCCAAUGGCAUUUUUUGCAGAAAUAAAAGAAAAAAACCAAAAUUUGUAUGGAACCAUGCUUCUUCAUUUCAAACAAUACUACAAAGUUAUAGUGCUUAAAACAGUAUGGUACUGGCAUAAAAAUAGACACAUAGGCCAAUGGAACAGAAUAGAGAGCCCAGAAUUAAACUCUACAUAUACAGUCAACCAAUGGUUGACAGGGGAGCCAAGAGCUCUCAACAGGGACAGGACAGUCUUUUCAACAAACGGUGCUGGGAAAACUGGAAAGCCACACACAGAAAAAUGAAAUCGGUCACCUAUCUUACAUGACUCACAAAGAUUAACUCAAAAUAGAUUAAACAACCCAAAUAUAAGACCCUCCAGGGGCCCCCAGGGCCUCACUUGUGAGCAGGUUCCUGGAUAUCUCACAAAAUCUAGCCUAAACGUCCUUCUAACCUCGGAUGUCUACACCAGUCAUGCCCUUGAUGUCUGAGCUUGGACCGUCUCAAAGAUGCACCCAGCUCAACAAGCCAAACUCCUGAGUACAGCUCCCCAAAAAGGGGUCUCACCCUCUUCCAUCGUUUCCUAGUUGUCACCUCCACAUCGCUGCAUCCUGUCCCGCCCAAAACCCCUUCAAGGCUGCCUUUGAGUGUGUCCAUCUGCCUGUCUCCAUCUCCACCAGCCUGGCCCGAGCUACCAUCGUCUCGCAAAGGCCUCAUAGGCGGGCUGCCCAGAUCUGCUGUUAGUUAUUCCACCAGAAUGGUCUUUUUGAUAAACAAAUCUGAUCUUGUCAUGCCUCUGUAUGAAACAUUCAGCAGGCUCCUAAAGCUCUUAGGAUAAAGGCCAAACUCCCCCACCAGGCCUCAGUUGACCCCUGCUGACUUCCCAGGCCUCGGUCCACACCAACCUCCCUGUCACUCCCCAAGUGAGGGUUUCAAUUCCUCAUCUAGAAGACAUGCCUUCGGCUGCAGGACUUCUCAUGAGCUGUUUUCUGGGCCUAGAAUCCUCCUUUCUUCCCUUUGCUUGGUUAACACAUACCCUUCCUUCAGAUCUCAAAUAAAGUCAUUCAUUCAUUCAACAAGCAUUCAUUGAACACCUACUACAUGCCAGGCACCGUGCUAGGUGCUGGGAUACAGCAACAAACAAAACAAAUUAAGUUCCCAUCCUCUGUGGGCAGGAGAGGGGAGACAGUAACCCUAAAUCAACAGUGAAAUAUGCCAGGUGGUCAUAAGUGCCCUGAAGAAAAGGGGUGAAGAAAAAGGGUAGAGAGUGUCAAGGGGAUGCAAAUGCUGUUAUGUAUCAAGGAAGGUCUCUACGAUAAGGCAAAAUUCCAGCAGACACCUGAAAGCAGUGAGGGAGCCAUGCUGAUAGCUGAGGGUAAAGGGUCCUAGGCAGAAGGCACAGCAAGCGCAAAGGCCCUGAGGCAGGAGCAAAAAGGCAGGCAUGGCUUAGGGAGAGCGAGAAGGGCAGGAUUGGAAGGAGAUGAGAUCAGAGAGGAAAUGGAGAGUCAUCAUUUAAGGACCCAGAGGGCUUCGUGGGGAGUUUGGAUUCUACUCUGAACGAUGUGGGGAGCCAUCGGAGAACGACAUGCUCGGACUUUAAAAAGGAUCACACUGGCGGCUGUAAGGAAAAAUGACUGGCGGAGGAAGCGGUGGAAGCUGGGAGACCCUGAAGAGGCAACUGUAGACUUCCAGGGAUGAGGUGAGGGUGGCCAGGACCAGGUGGGGACAAUGGAGGGGGUGAGGAGCGGCUGGGGCCCAGACCCGCCAAUGCCCCUGGUAGAUGUCACCCACCUCCACUGUAAUUGGACAUUUCUUUGUGCACAUUUGAUUAAUGCCUGGCCGCCCCUCCUGGGCCGUGAGCCUCCAGAAGGCAGGAAUGGGGCUUCUUCACUCAACAACACCCUGUGCCCAUAAGAGAUGCUCUAUACAAUUGUGUUGAGUGAAUGAACAAACAAAUACCAAAAGGAAAAAAUACACACAAACAUACGCACAAUUUGCUGGGUCAGCCGGUAAGUCCAGUCCUCGCUGUUCUCUCCAGGUUCUGCAAGAAGCAGGCACCCAGGAUCCGCUCCAUGCCCAGCACCAGCCAGGCACAAUAUUAAAGAACAGCACAACAGGGCAGCACGACAUUUGCCACUUGGGCUGAGGCCCGGAGUCCACCAGCCACGGCCAAAGACAUAAGAAUUGCUCACAGUUGCUGUGUUUCCUUUGUGCUAGAAAUUACUUUAAACGCUUCCCGGUAUUACCUCCUUAAACCCCCAGGCCAGUCAAAUAAAGUAGGCACUAUUAUUAUCCUCAUUUUUCAGAUAUGGAAACUAAGGCACAAAGAGCUUUAUGACUUGCCCAGGACCUCACAGCUGGUGUGACGCAGACGCCCUCUUGUGGGAGGGCGUGGCGGUCUUCCUGGGUCUCCGCAGCUUCCGGUCUCGCUCCUUCUGACCGUUGACCCCCAGAAGCCUCAGAUCCUGGAACCUUCCGCCAUCUCUCAGUCUGCCAGCUCCUCUUGGCCUCUCUCUCUUCCCAGCCAAGUCCACGUGAACAUGUCAUAAGUCUCCUUCUUUCCCUAGAUGUGUCACCAUCCCACGUCCCUGCGUCCUCCUGGGAGGGCCACACCGUCUGAAACUUCUUUCUAAACCUGUCUAAGUUUAGACUUCCAAUCCCAGUGAAAACUCACUGUAAUGCAGGACAGUCAGAGGGACAAACCUCUCCCUCCCAAAUCUCAGAUCUCUUUCACCACCUCCUUCCCCCGCCGGGUGUCAGCCUCCACAGGGCCGGCCACAAGGGACCUGGAGUCCAGGUGCAGAGUUCGUGAGUCACCGGGAUGUUGGAAACCAUGGUCCCCUCUCAGGAGCCCUAGACCACAGGGGCGCCCAGCAAAGGCUGGCCCGCCAGCUCUAAACUGCUGUCCGCUGGGGAAACUGGGCAAAAGAGCCCCAGGACAGAUUCCCUAACAUCCUAAAAUCCAGGGCUGUGGACCCAGAGACCGAAGCCCCAUUCCUGAGCCUGGUUGUGUCUCGGCUUAGGUCAGAAUCCUGGAAGUCAGGAGAGGAAGUCCCGGCCAUCAUUUUUCUCGAUUCAAGUGCAGUUUUGAGAACUGAAACGCCAGGACUACUGGCGGCAGGGGAAGCAGAAGUCAGUGACCCAGCCACAGAAACCUCGCCCUGUAGACGGUGCAUUCGAAGGAGCAUGGAGUCACCUGCACUCCAAGUCCUGCCGAGCCAGCGUGCAGGGAUCGCAGCCCACGCCCCAGCGGCUUUUCCGCGGACGAGGAAAAGCGGGAUCAGCAGCCUCGCCCCAAGCUGGGGAUCACGGAAGGCUGACACUUACAUCUGAAUUUUCAUGACAUCCAGAGGCCUGAGAAAAUUAAAAUCACCACAAUCCCAUUACCUACUGCUGACGUUCUGAUAACGAUCGUCCUUAUUUCUUCUGGAUGUGUAUUCUUCCCCUGAAGUUGCGGUCCUGUCAAACAAAUUGUCUCCUUUUUUUCAUCAAGACCAUUUUCCUUGGACCAGGGUCCCUGCCCAGUGGACACUCUGCCAAUGCAAGGAGCUCACACUAUGUCCCAGAUGAAUAACAGCUCCAAUUGAUGAAGCACCCAAAGUGAGCCAGGCACCAGGACAAGGAUUGAUGGAUUAUGUCAUUAAUCCACACAAAAGCCUCAGAGCUCAGUAUGGUUACUAACCGCCACAGGGAAACAGAGACUCCAAAAGUCCAGGAGGUAACUGAGGUCAUAAGCCAGUAAGUGGAGUGUGCUGACUCAAGGGUGCAUACUUGUUGUCACACAGCUCUGCAUCUCCAGCUAUGCUUUGACGUCUCAUUGUUUCUUGCAUGUUAUUCUUAAUCCCCAAUUACAGCAUAAAUUCCUCUAAAUUGAGAAUUCAUAUUUUCUCUCUGUUACUAGGCAUAAUAAUAUAAUAUUAUAGAAUAUAUGACACAUUUGGUAUUGUACAGUAAUAAUGAUAGUAUCUGUGGACCGCCAUAAAUGAAGAAUGAGUAUAUAUUGAGCACCUUCUGUGUGCUAGACAUCUUUUAUCCCAUUUAUUCCUCACAACUCUAUGGGAGGGGUAUUACUGCUCCCCAUUUUAAAAUGAGAAAACUGAGACUCAAAGAGGUUAAGAAAUGGUCCCAGUCACGCACCUAGUAAGUGGCCUAGAUAGACCUUGAAUCGAGUCUGUCUGAACCAAAAUCCCAGGUUGGCUUCAAUAUGUCACACCACUUUCAGCGGAGCACCCUGCAGCCCCAUCCCUUUAUGAAGGUCUGACAUGAGGAGUGCCGCGCUCUCCCCCCAGACCAGGGCAAAACGUGCAGUGGCUUUGAAUAAACGCUUCUCAGAUGGAGAAAUAAGGAGAAACGCUUGCACGUGGACGUAUGAGAAAGUUCACAGCAGUGCUGUUCACAACAUGUAAAAGCCAGGAACAGCCCACGUGUCCUUCAAUGGGAGAAUGAAGAAAAAAACAUGUGGUCUAUUCACUCAACUAAUAUACACUGUAGUCAAAACACCCAACUACAGCAACAUGCAAAAUGCAGAAGACUUAGCAAUACAAGCUUAAGUGGAAAAAAAAAAAGUAAAAUAAAAAAAUGUGUUUUUAGAAAUGCAUAUAA